ensembl:lncRNA
CGGAGCUCGCGCCUCUCCGGAGCCCGCGCCGCCUCCCUCGCGGCGUUCCUGUCCUGGCCUGUCCCCUCCCGGCCGCACCGAGAGGAGCGGGCAGCGUGAACUUUACCCGCGCCUGCAAAAUUGGCCAGAGCCCGAGACCGCGGCCGCUUUGGCCCAAGCCUGACACCCCCCCACACACACCUGGCAGCGGGCCUGGUUUCUUGGCUGCUACUUAGCACCUCUACAGCACUUUUCUUCAAAGCCUUUUGCAGACUUUCUCUAAAGACCCUGCUUUUCACCCCCUUUGGCAAGCCCGAAGGAAGGACUGAUCUUUGUUCAGACUAUCAGUUUUCCUCUGCUCUGUCCACGUUAGCUGGUCCUGACAAGGCCCUGAGGGCAAGAGGUCCAGAUUAUCCCAGUUUUACAGAAUUGAAAGACAAAGGGAGGGGACUGCCCAGGUCUCCUAAAAGUCAGAGGUCAGAGGAAAGUGGCUAUAAGAAGAAGUGAAGUCUCCAAAACUGCCUCCUGUAUACUUAGCCUUUAAAAAGAAAAAAGGAAAGUAUUCAAGUUGUGAGCAAAUCCAACAGUGAGCAGAGUGGCAGAAAGGGUUCGAAAUCGAACUGGUCAUCUCACCACUGACUUCAAAUGGUAGCCUCUGAAGCUGCUUUGGGGACAGAGUCAAGCAGUCCAAACUCCAUUAUCACUUCCUAAGAGAACUUAUAGCUCGAAAUGACCAGUGCACCAUUUCCAAAGACAGUACCUGAAAGUAUAAACAGCCCAGAAAAGAGGCUCCGUGGACUGCUGGAACGAUUGCCCUAAAUUGCCCUGGCCAGCUUCGAACUUGCCAUCCUCAUGCUUUAGCCUCCGGAGAAGCUGGAAUUACAGGAGAAUUUUAUCAUCUAGCCAGUCCGCAAGGCAUUCGGCAAACGCGGACUGGAUCUCCGGCCGCGCGGAUCAGGUGGAGUUUCGGGGCCCAGGAACUCCAGUGGCUGCGGCCGCCAAGGAAGGGGGCAGGGCUGCCGGGACCCACCGGCUGAAAAUGGCAGAGGAUGUGCUCUUCAUUUUAUCAGGCUACACAGCGUGCUAUGGAUUGGGCCCAAGCCUAAAGGGAUGACCUAUGAAAAUCCCACACAGUCAACUGCAAAAUGUGGAAACAGGGCCUGGAGGCUUUGCUAGGAGAGCGGAACGCACGCAGGGAGGACGGUCCUUCCUGUCAGACCGUUUGUUUCCCCUCAACGUCUGAAAUAACAAAAUUCCUCAAAUCAACAAAAACUGGGGGUCGUCUCUCCAGCCCCGGCCCCCACUCCGUCUUAAACCUAGGGACCCCAGGGCGGGCCGCGUGGAGCUCUGGCUGAGGAGCGGAGCGUCGGCGCGGCUCGGAGCUGUGGCCCCCAGCAGGCUCCCGCCGCGACCCAGAGGCAGACGCCCAGCCGAGCGAGCGCUCCCAAGUGCGAACUGGAGCGGCGAGUUUGAGCAAAAGGGCAACUGUGUCAGUUGACGGAAGCCAGAAGUAGAGUUCAAAGCCUGGCGUGGAUUUCUGUCUGGAGCCGUCUGUUUCUUAAAGUUUGUAACUCCGUGUUAAGAAACAGCGCCAGCGGAGGCUUUGGGAUCAGUGUGAAAGUCUAGCAGUACCAUCUGACAGCGAGCUGCAAAACUUUGGGCUGCAUAUUAAGCGAG